CGCCCUAUUGGGGGAAAGAUUUUAUUGGAGAGAGAUGAGCCUGCGUUGGAUUAGCUAGUUGGUAGGGUAAGAGCCUACCAAGGCUACGAUCUAUAGCUGGUCUGAGAGGACGAUCAGCCACACUGGGACUGAGACACGGCCCAGACUCCUACGGGAGGCAGCAGUGGGGAAUAUUGGACAAUGGGGGCAACCCUGAUCCAGCCAUGCCGCGUGAGUGAAGAAGGCCUUAGGGUUGUAAAGCUCUUUCGCCGGAGAAGAUAAUGACGGUAUUCGGAGAAGAAGCCCCGGCUAACUUCGUGCCAGCAGCCGCGGUAAUACGAAGGGGGCGAGCGUUGUUCGGAAUAACUGGGCGUAAAGGGCGCGUAGGCGGGCGAUUAAGUUAGAGGUGAAAUCCCAGGGCUCAACCUUGGAACUGCCUUUAAUACUGGUUGUCUAGAGUUUAGGAGAGGUGAGUGGAAUUCCGAGUGUAGAGGUGAAAUUCCUAGA
rnacentral:rRNA from 1 species